CAUUACCGGGGUCUAUAAUGCAGUCGUACGCUUCUUUUUCCACCGGAGCUUGCUCCACCGGAAAAAGAAGAGUGGCGAACGGGUGAGUAACACGUGGGUAACCUGCCCAUCAGAAGGGGAUAACACUUGGAAACAGGUGCUAAUACCGUAUAACAAUCGAAACCGCAUGGUUUUGAUUUGAAAGGCGCUUUCGGGUGUCGCUGAUGGAUGGACCCGCGGUGCAUUAGCUAGUUGGUGAGGUAACGGCUCACCAAGGCCACGAUGCAUAGCCGACCUGAGAGGGUGAUCGGCCACAUUGGGACUGAGACACGGCCCAAACUCCUACGGGAGGCAGCAGUAGGGAAUCUUCGGUAAUGGACGAAAGUCUGACCGAGCAACGCCGCGUGAGUGAAGAAGGUUUUCGGAUCGUAAAACUCUGUUGUUAGAGAAGAACAAG
rnacentral:rRNA from 1 species